ACUAACAGAGCAGGCAGAGGCAAAGCAAAACCCGGCAUCCACAGGGCAGAAACAGAUUCCAACCAGGAAAACAGAACAACAUUUAGAACGCCAGAGUUAACCUGCCGCUGAUGGAAGGCAAACAAAAAAAAAAAAACAUAAAUAACAGAGGAACCAGGUGGAAAUUAUCUGCGUUUAUCAGCCGCUGGACCAGUUAGACAGAAAAAUCUCCAGAGAACAACCUGCCUCCUCUGUUUAAUCUGUGUGUUAAUGCCAUCAGUGUGUGAAUGCUCACUGACUACUGAACCAGUAUAAACAGCAUCAGAACCAACAGCAACAAAGUCUCUGGCAUCCAGACUAGGAAUCUGGGGGCCAUCAGAAACUAACCCAGCACAUACCAAACCAUCAGGGCCUGAAAAAUCAGUUCCGGACCAUCAGGACCUGGAAAACCAUUAACAGAACCAGCCUGUUGUGUACUCUGAAACUCUGCAAGCUGUUUAGAGCUAAAUACAAAUAUUAAAUUCUGGAUAAAAUAAUCCUGCAUCUGAGGGCAGCUGAGGGAAUCAGAGAGCAGAGAUGAAGGCCGUCGUUGGAGUCUUACUGAUGUUGCUCCGA